rnacentral:piRNA from 1 species
UGUGUGAACAUAGCUGAAUAGAUGCUU